rnacentral:rRNA from 1 species
UACGGAGGGUGCAAGCGUUAUCCGGAUUUACUGGGUUUAAAGGGUGUGUAGGCGGGCUUUUAAGUCAGUGGUGAAAUCUCCGGGCUCAACCUGGAAACUGCCAUUGAUACUAUUAGUCUUGAAUUUUGUUGAGGCAGGCGGAAUAAGUCAAGUAGCGGUGAAAUGCAUAGAUAUGUCACAGAACACCAAUUGCGAAGGCAGCUUGCUAUGGUAUAAUUGACGCUGAGGCACGAAAGCGUGGGGAUCAAACAGG